UUUUGGUUGACUUCAUUCUCUUCUUUCCUCAAGGCUAUAAGUGAUGUGAUGUAGCAGAAAGGAAUGAUCUGUGGAUGACUAUAUGGCUUGCAAGAGACUGAGUCUGAAAUAUGUAUUGGUCCGUUGAUAUUAAACUUGACAAUAGUCAAUAGAUUGUCACACCAUGAGAGUAUGCAAAGGUCCUCCAUUCUGAUGAGAAAUUUGACAUUGCAAGAGCCAAC